rnacentral:misc_RNA from 1 species
GGGAAGUCUCAAGUGGUUCAGGAUGAGUUGGUUAGGCUUGGUGAGCAAAUGGUCAAUGGUGUUGAGGGGACUAGAGCUCUAGCUUUGGAACUUUGCCGUGAGUUUGAAGAUAAGUUUCUCCAGCACAUAGGCUCUGGUGAGGGUGCAGGUUGGAAAAUUGUUGCUAGCUUUGAGGGGAAUUUUCCAAAUCGAAUUAAGCAAUUGCCUUUAGACAGACACUUCGAUAUUAAUAAUGUGAAGAGGAUUGUAUUAGAAGCUGAUGGUUAUCAGCCCUAUCUAAUAUCACCGGAGAAAGGUUUGAGAUCUUUAAUAAAAGGUGUUUUGGAGCUUGCAAAAGAACCAUCACGUCUCUGUGUUGAUGAGGUGCACAGAGUUUUGAUAGAUAUUGUUUCUGCUGCUGCUAAUGGCACCCCAGGUCUUGG